rnacentral:rRNA from 1 species
CCUACGGGAGGCAGCAGUGGGGAAUGAUGCGCAAUGGGCGAAAGAGUGACGCAGCGACGCCGCGUGAAUGACGAAGGCCGUCGGGACGGAAAGUUCUUUCGACAGGGAAGAAAAUGCCAAUAAGUAACUGUGUAUGUAUUGACGGUACCUGUAGAAGCAGCCCCGGCUAACUCCGUGCCAGCAGCCGCGGUAAGACGGAGGGGGCGAGCGUUGUUCGGAGUGACUGGGCGUAAAGAGCACGUAGGCGGUGGUGUAAGUCAUUAGUCAAAGACUAGAGCUCAACUUUAGUACGGCGAGUGAUACUUUAAUACUAGAGUAUCGGAGAGGGUUGCGGAAUUCCUGGUGUAGCGGUGAACUGCGUAGAUAUCAGGAGGAAUACCGUUCGCGAAGGCGGCAGUCUGGCUGGAAACUGACGCUGAGGUGCGAAAGCGUGGGUAGCAAACAGGAUUAGAUACCCCGGUAGUC